rnacentral:rRNA from 1 species
ACGCUGGCGGCGUGCCUAAUACAUGCAAGUCGAACGGUCUUUUCUAUGGAAGCUUGCUUCCACUGAGAAGAUAGUGGCGAACGGGUGAGUAACACGUGGGUAACCUGCCCAUAAGAGGGGGAUAACAUCCGGAAACGGGUGCUAAUACCGCAUAGUUUUUCUUGAUCGCAUGAUUGAGAAAGGAAAGACGGCCUUUGUGCUGUCGCUUAUGGAUGGACCCGCGGCGUAUUAGUUAGUUGGUGAGGUAAUGGCUCACCAAGACGAUGAUACGUAGCCGACCUGAGAGGGUGAUCGGCCACAUUGGGACUGAGACACGGCCCAAACUCCUACGGGAGGCAGCAGUAGGGAAUCUUCCGCAAUGGACGAAAGUCUGACGGAGCAACGCCGCGUGAGUGAAGAAAGGUUUUCGGAUCGUAAAACUCUGUUGUCAGAGAAGAACAAGUUGGAGAGUAACUGCUCCAGCCUUGACGGUAUCUGACCAGAAAGCCACGGCUAACUACGUGCCAGCCGCCGC